rnacentral:rRNA from 1 species
UACGAACUGUGCGAACGUUAUUCGGAAUCACUGGGCUUAAAGGGUGCGUAGGCGGCUUCCUAAGUAGGGUGUGAAAGCCCCCGGCUCAACCGGGGAACUGCGCUCUAAACUGGGUGGCUCGAGUGAGAUAGGGGUGUGUGGAACUUCCGGUGGAGCGGUGAAAUGUGUUGAUAUCGGAAGGAACGCCGGUAGCGAAAGCGACACACUGGGUCUCAACUGACGCUGAGGCACGAAAGCCAGGGGAGUGAACGGG